CAGGAAAUGAGAAAAAAAAAAAAAAAGACCCUCAUUCAUGGAGACCACAGGAGAAGACAGAACAUCCCAUCCCUCAUGUGGACACUUCCACCGGUUGCUAAAACGGAUCCUUGGACGCUUUUGAGCUUCUUGAAGAAUCCAAAUAAGGACGUAGGGUGACCAAGGACAAACAAACACUGUGGCGUUUAGAAAUGAAGACCAAGGAAUGGGAGGGAAUGUGUAUGCGGCUAUUUAAUAAAGUUUGGAUCACAAAUUCAGCUUCCUUUCUUUUCUGCCAGCAUGUGGCAAUGGAUGAAAAGAGAAAGGGCAGCGAGUGCCAGGAGAAAGUUCUCCCCAAACUGAACCUCGGGAACAGCCCCGAAGGUGUAUUCUCCAACUGGGAUGGUCGGUACAAGGGUGAGCCCACACCUCCUUAUGAAACGGAAGGCCCGUGGGAAGGAUCAAGUACUUUUCAGUAAAGAGCUUCACAGUUAAUGCUGUGAGCAGCAGCAAGCUUUGGCACAGACACACGAGCCAGAUGAGGACCCCAGUGGCAUCGUCAAGGGUCUCUACCAUACCAAGGGCUCACCGAUUGGGUAGACCAGAAGGUCAGUAAGCUCCAAGGUCCUCCUAUCUCCCCUACAUCUGACUUUUUAACUGUAUUCUGGGUAUCAGAAGUCAGGUUGUCCUCUGCCCUGCAUAGAGAAAACUGACAAGUGAACCAUCUCUUCAGCCCCAGGAAAAACUGAGCUAAACUAAGUAACUGUUACCCUUAGAGAUUAUGAUUGAAAUUUCAUCUUGAGUCAGGAAACAUUGUGGCUUAGCAAGGAUUGAGGCCAGCUCCUUGGCCCACAGGAGGGCAAGAGUUGCUCUUUGCUGGUUGCUGCAACCACGGAACAGGGCUCUAGAGCUACCAAAUGUGACUUCUCAAGAGAAUAGGGACACAAUUUUUGAAUAAAAUUAAGUUAAUUUUACAAUUUUUUUGGUAUACAAAUAUUAAUGCCGGGUGUUGAGGCCAAGCAGAUGGCACUGCUGGCCAUGCCCAGGCUGUGGGCAGCCCCUGGAUGGUCCCUGACCUGCCACCCUACUGAGUUAGCAAGGGUCAUUUGUGACAACAUUGGCUCUUUUUAUCAGACAUUCAAGCUCUAGCAGGCUGAUUAUGUGUGUAAUGUUUUCUUAGUUUUAUGACUCAGCAUCUUUCUCAUCAGCCUGAUAGGGAGCCUUCAAAAGACUCAAAAAGUGGCCCCUUGGGUAAACUUAAUGAGGAAAAAACACAGUGGAAUUCUUUUUUGACAGCGUUCUUAAUAACAUGAUUUUAUAUUUUUCUGUCCCACACGUAUCUCAUCACCCUCUUUGACUAAUAAAAAGAUAAAGAAAAUGGAAUGAAAACAAUCAACUUCCUCUGGUUAUUUUACCAUGUCUGACCUGAUUUGUGGAGGAUAAUGAUUCAAAGCGCUAAGAUAAUCAGGCGGGCAACAAAUUAAUUAACUUGAUAACAAUAAUCAAGCUCUGGGUAGGAUAUAUUGAUCACCAUCUGGAAGAAGGCAUGGAAAAAAAAAAAGAAUGAGAAAUUUGAUGAGGACCUGAUGGAAGAGACCAAGAGUCAAAUCGAUGAAGGCAAUCAUGGGGAUUACCAAAGGCCAAAGCAAUGAGAAGACGAUGAACUGUGGGAGAAAAACUCAGAAAUGAAAACCUAGCUAAGCUGGGGGAAACUGCAGUAAAUGGAAAGGUCUACCUAUCGUCAAAGACAAUCACCAUACAUAAAGAUGUAUGCAUUUAAGAGUUAGAAAACCAAGGACUGCAUAAGACAGCCCAAGGGGAAGAGGAAGCAGGACCGUUGAUCUUGACCUUCCCAACCUCUGAACUACAAAACCAACCUUCACCAUUUAUUAGUCACCUCCUCUGAGAGGCCCAAAUGAGUAGAGACCAAUAUUACAAUGAGCCCAGAUUUUGUUGUAGACAGGGUUUCAUGCAACAAAGCCCCAAAUGACCUUGAACUUCUGAGCCACCUGCUCCUUCCUCCUGAGUGCGGGGACUUCAGGCUUUGUCUCUGUGAUGCUCUCCAUUGACUGAGCAGAAUCUCCAGCCCAUGACCGCACCUUCCUGUGAAGUAACAGCGAGCUCCUUUGUUAAGCAUCAUUUAAGCAU
rnacentral:lncRNA from 1 species